CGGUCCGUAACGGGACCUUUCCUUCGGGACAGAGGAGACAGGUGGUGCAUGGUUGUCGUCAGCUCGUGUCGUGAGAUGUUGGGUUAAGUCCCGCAACGAGCGCAACCCCUAUCCUUAGUAGCCAGCAGUUCGGCUGGGCACUCUAGGGAGACUGCCAGGGAUAACCUGGAGGAAGGCGGGGAUGACGUCAAAUCAUCAUGCCCCUUAUGAUCUGGGCUACACACGUGCUACAAUGGUGGCUACAAAGGGAAGCGACCCUGUGAAGGUAAGCAAAUCCCAAAAAGGCCAUCCCAGUUCGGAUUGUAGUCUGCAACUCGACUACAUGAAGCUGGAAUCGCUAGUAAUCGCGAAUCAGAAUGUCGCGGUGAAUACGUUCCCGGGUCUUGUACACACCGCCCGUCACACCAUGGGAGUUGGAUAUGCCCGAAGUCUGUGACCCAACCCAUCUUAGUGAGCAUGACGUCGUGAUGAUUGAAUGAACGAAGUGAAUUCAAUCAUAUCCGUAUAAAAAAUACGGUCACGGAGGAGCGCAGAAAAACCUGCGUGAGUACGUGAGCAAUCACGAAGUCAGUCGUGCUUAGUAAGAUGGGAGGGAGCAGCCGAAGGUGGAGCCAAUGACUGGGGUGAAGUCGUAACAAGGUAGCCGUAUCGGAAGGUGCGGCUGGAUCACCUCCUUU
rnacentral:rRNA from 1 species